UCUUUUCACCUUCUGUCUCUCUCUCUCUCUCUUCUCACAGUUUCGUCUUUGGUAAAGGAGCGAACGAGCCGCGCCACCGAUUCGACCCGAUAGGCAAGAAAACAAUACCGGGAUAUCACCGGCACCGAAUCUUCUCUUGCAAGCUUGGCUCUCAUUAUAUUCGCAAUGGACUCCCACUCUGGUUCUUCAAGUCUCGGAAAUUUAUUAUCUCUUGGUAUUUGAUUUCUUUGAGGAAAUAGGGUUAGGGUUUUCCGUUUUAAAGCAUUGCUGCGACGGCGAUUGGAUAUUUUUCCUUGAUUUUAGACUUUGUGGGUUCGAUUCGAGACGGGAAGAUAGGCGUGCGUAGAGGAUAAUGUGUAUACUCUGUGUGAUUCAGAAGUGGUCUCGCCGGGUUGCUACGAUGCUGCCUUGGUUAGUUAUUCCACUCAUAGGACUUUGGGCUCUCUCCCAACUUUUACCGCCUGCAUUUCGGUUUGAGAUUACAUCGCCCAGGCUGGCCUGUGUGUUUGUGCUUUUGGUUACUCUCUUUUGGUAUGAGAUUUUGAUGCCUCAGCUGUCAGCCUGGCGUGUUCGCAGGAAUGCACAGCUCAGGGAGAGGAAGAGGUUUGAAGCAAUAGAAUUGCAGAAGCUUCGGAAAACUGCGACAAGGCGGUGCAGGAACUGCUUGACUCCCUAUAGGGAACAGAAUCCUGGUGGUGGUCGGUUUAUGUGUUCAUAUUGCGGUCAUAUUUCGAAGCGGCCGGUUUUGGACUUGCCCAUACCGCCUGGUAUGGGAAACAAUGGGAUUAUUAAGGAUUUGGUUGGAAAAAGUGGGAAGAUAUUUAAUGGAAAGGCAUGGUCCGAAAAUGGAUGGACGUGCAGUCAGGAUUGGUUGGAGAAUGGCAAUUGGGUCAGUGGAUCUGUUUCAGCAAAGUCUAGUUAUUGGAUGAAGAAUGGGAGUGGUAUGUUUGGCGGAGAUGAGCAUUGUUUGGCUGAGAAGUCUUACUCGGGAGUUGUUAUGUUUGCAUGCAAGCUGUUGACAUCUUUUUUCUUCACCAUUAGGUGGCUUUGGAGAAAGAUUUUUAGGAUUAGUUCAAGUGAAGAUAAUUUGACUGAUGCUGAGCAUCGGGCUAUGUUGGCUAAGAAAGGCGAGAAUGGGGAAAGCUUUCAUGAAAGUAGAGGAGAGAAAGCACGCAGAAAAGCUGAAGAGAAGAGACAGGCUAGGUUAGAGAAGGAGCUUUUGGAGGAGGAAGAGCGAAAGCAGAGGGAAGAGGUCGCAAGACUAGUGGAGGAACGUAGGAGAUUGAGGGAUGAGAAAAUGGAAGCUGAGAAAAAAACAUCACCAACUGUCAGGGAAAAGGAUAGUAAGAAGGAAGCUGAAAAGAAGCGUCAGGAGAGAAGGAAAGAGAAGGACAAAGCGUCUAGUAAGAGCAAUUCUGAUGCAGAAGAGCUGGAAAAAAGAGCAGGUAAGGAAAGUGAGCGAAAGCAAGAAUUGGAAAAGAAGAAUGAGAUUGGCCGGGAACAUCAGAAAUCUGGGACUGAAGGCAUUAGAGGCCCGAGUAUCGAAACUGGACAUGGGAUGAAAAAUUUAUCUGCAAACAGUGUUAGCCGGGGAAAUUAUGGAACUAGGUAUCUGGAUCGUAUGAGGGGUACGAUUUUUUCCCAUUCUAAAGCAUUUAGUGGCAGUAGCCUUUUUGGAAAGGGUGCUAAUAUUGCUAAUAGUCCUGCCCCAAUUACUACGGAAAGCAAGCCUAACAGUUCAGUUGAUCAUGUCCAUCAUUUUGCUAAUAAGAGAGAUUUAUUUCCACAUGAACAUGUAGCUGGAAAACCAAGUGCAAAUGGAGAUGACAAGAGCAUCAAUCGCGCUGUUUUCUCUGAACAACCUAGGACAACACCUAAGAAAUCAUGGCAACAAUUAUUUACUCGAUCAUCAUCUGCUCCUCCUUCGAAUACAAAUGUCAUAAGCAGACCAAAUACAAAGUUCCAGGCAGAAGUUCAGAGCCCACAGUUCAGCAGCCAAACAUCAUCGACCCAAUCAUAUGAUAAUCCUAUUAACUUUGGGCUGCCAUCACCAUUCACACUGCCUACCUAUCCAAAUGUAUCCACAAGCAAUGGUUUAGGUUUUUCACCAGCAAUCAAAUCAGUCUUUCCUCGCAUUGGAGAACCAUCCCGUGAAUUUAUGUAUGAAGAGCCAGAGCUUUUUGAAGACCCAUGUUAUGUUCCUGAUCCAGUAUCCUUGCUUGGGCCUGUUUCAGAGUCGCUUGAUAAUUUUCAUUUGGACCUGGGCACUGGAUUUUCAACAGACAUGGGAUUGGAAAGGCCUCGUGCUUUAAAGAAAGUAUCUGCUUCAUCUGAAGUCAACAAGCCAUCUCCAAUCGAGUCUCCAUUGUCUCGAGAAAAGCACAAUACUUCUAAUUGGUUACCAUGUACCUCUAGGGCCCAGGAUAAUUUACCUGUCACUGAUGCUACUACAAAUGAGACAGGAACAUGGCAAAUGUGGAAUACCUCUCCUCUUGGUCAGGAUGGUCUAGGUUUAGUCGGUGGGCCUGUGAGCUGGCUUUCACCCCCUGAAUGGAAUAGAGCAAACAAGGAAGAUUUAGUGCAUCCAUCUCAGAAAACUGGUGCUUCACUGUUUGCAAAUGAUGAUCAUGUCCUUUCUGGCACUCAUUCUCCUCAGAAUGUUUUUCUUGGUAAUGGGCAGAAUGGUGGGCCAUAUGGCCCUGUUACUGGUUCGAGUGAUAAUGAACCCUGGUUACAGAAAGCUUUCUUUCCUCCAUUGGCGGGAAGUGAAAACCAUUUUGCACUCAAGCCUCGAGAAGAAUUUACACAAAAUGAAAUGAUUUUUGGAAGUCCAAGCUCUGGAAGUAAACAUCCAUUAGACAUGUCUCCUGCUAAUUGUUGGUCCAAUUAGGUUUGUACCUUUGACGUGAUAUAGAGACCAAUAGAGGCUGUGGUGGGAUCCUGGGAAGGGGCACCACUAGAGGGAGAGGCGAGGGUUUUAAAAAUGGAGUGGCGAUGGCAGAGAUGGAAGCAAGCAAUUAAGAAAGGAAUGGAGUGUGCAGGGUUCAGGGGAAGUUGGUGCUAAGUCAUCCGUUGCAAGGCCCCCAAUUGGGGAUCUAUAUCCCACCCAAGAUGUACAAUCACUUUGGCGAUUUGAUUGAAAACAGGGACAGAAUAUGAGGGACUUAAAUACACCUGUUCUCUAGACGCAAAAAAUAGCCUCUUUUGGAGGAGAGUUGAGAAUAGUGGAUGCAAUGUAUCUUCCUGCUCUUCUUCUUUAUAAGGGAGAUUGAUGUUUACUUACCCUAGCAUGAUAGGAAUACACGUGGCAUGCAUGCAUUUAUGCGGCAAGUAACAUCUAGAUUGAAAGGAAAAAAAAAUCAUCAUUUCCUGAUUUCCGACUAA